AUAGUUUAAUGAACAAAGAUUCAAUAUCACCUCUCUUCUCUCUCUCUUUCUCUACAAUCAAUCAAAAGCUUCUUUGUUUCCUCCAAUAUUAUUUUUUUAGAUCUGGCUAAAAUUAUAUCGGAAUUGAAUAUAUAUCCACCCGAUUUGUACAAAAAUUGAUUCGAGAUCUGUUGUGAUUUUUAGCUUUUGAAGAUGGGAGAUGAAACAGUUGAGAUUACGCUACGGAACGUGUUGAACCUCUUCAUCUUCUCACUAACAAUAACGAAAUCCAAAACAAGUGCAGAGAAGAUCUUCCGAGCGCUCGACAUUUACCAAACCAUCUUACACCUAAUUCCCAAAAUCGAUCAGAUCUUCAGAUUCAAGUAGAGGAGUUCCUCAUGCCAGUCAAAAAUCAUCCUAGGGAGAAAACAUGAAAACUUCUUACAGUCAACUUGAAAGGAUUGUGAUUUAGCAUGUUCAUCAGAAGAUUCACCAGUUCCGGCUUAACUAUGAGGACAGGCAGUAUAAGAAAAGGGGCAAAAAAAAAAUUUGUAAGUUAAAGAGGCACAAAAAAAAAACUUUGUAAGUUAAAAGGGCACAAAAAAACACAGAAAGUUUUUCUAUAGGUUAAGGAGCAUUUUUUUCAAGUUUGCCCAAGGGCAUGUAAUAUGUUUAAGUUGGCACUAUCUCCAGUGAAAUCCCAAUCUCAAAUCACAACAAAAUUUCCCAAAACAAUCGAUUCUCCUUCAGCAACCAUCACCGGAGAACAUAACCUCAAAAUCAAUCUUUUGUCCGUUCGAUUCCGCCAUAGACGACGGCGCUUGGCCAUCACCAGCGAAGGGAUGAAGAUGAGUUACACCUUCAAAGCAAGAAACGAAAGUAUUUGUGACACCCUAGUUUCAGAGACUUGCGAAGAGGUUUAAAAGAACUGAUUUUGCCACCUAUGUCACAAAAGUGCACUUAUCUUUUCGGUCAAGAGUCCUGAGAGAACUCCAGAGUUAAGC